AAUAAGUGCAAUCAUGGGUAUCUGUGUCCAACGUUUGACCGUCCGUCUUAUUUGAAAAAUUUAUGAAAAAAAUAAAAAAAAUUAGUCAUACAUAAAGUACUAUUCAUGUUUUAUCUUCUAAUAACAAUAAAAAUAUUAAUCAUAAAAAAUUUUCAAAUAAGACGAACGGUCAAACGUUGUACUUAUUUUGGGACGGAGGGACA
rfam:Oryza nivara chromosome 7, whole genome shotgun sequence.